CAGCCGCCGCGGGAAUACCAGCACCUCGAGUGGUCAGGAGGUUUAUUGGGCCUAAAGCAUCCGUAGCCGGUUGUUUAAGUUUUCGGUUAAAUCUAUGCGCUUAACGUAUAGGCUGCCGAAAAUACUGGACAGCUAGGGAGUGGGAGAGGUACACAGUACUCAAUAGGAAGGGGUAAAAUCCUUUGAUCUGUUGAUGACCACCUGUGGCGAAGGCGGUGUACCAGAACACGUUCGACGGUGAGGGAUGAAAGCUGGGGGAACAAACCGGAUUAGAGACCCGCGUAGUCCCUGUCUCUUAUAA
rnacentral:rRNA from 1 species